UUUCCAGUUCUCACUGUUAGGAUUUUUUCUUGUAAUAGUCCCAUACUUUCCUACUUUGAUGUGUCCUACCUCAGGAGAGCCCCUAGCCCUCCCCACAAGAGCCCUGCCCGGCCCUGUCCGAGAUAUUGUGGUCAAUUCCGCGCUGACUUCUCCUCCGUCCUCCCCUGGCCGCCUCACCGGCUCGGGAGCCCUUGUCCCCUGGGAGGUAUGUGAAGUGCUCUGCCAGCCUGCCCGUGAGCCUGGCCUGUUUUUUCUCGCUGCCAGUACCUCUUGGAUUCCAAUUCCAAACAUGGUAUCCGUCUGGGGUCACCCUUUCUUCCGGUGCCAAGAGAGACGCAUUCCAAAUGGAACACAAGUGUGCCUGCACGCCGGGCUCUGCUCACUGUGGGGGACAACGGACAGCAGGACGUGGCCACUCCGUCCCUCCUGCUCAGGCGUUCGCCCCGCGGUCCUCUCCUUGCCUCAGGACAAUUUAGGUUCUUGCCCAGAGCCAAAUGCGAGGACCGUCCUGAGAGACCCGGAGCCUUGCUGGAGGAAAGCGAGAGGGGAAAGGCGGCUCUAAAAUCCUCCAUGGAGUGUCCCGUGCUCUGCCGUUCAGUCCCCAAGCUGCCCGGAGCAUUGCUCUCCGGAAAGGUGGCCCUGGGGGCCAGAAGCCAGACGUGAGAAGACCCCUGGGAGGACAGAUUAAUCCGUUUUUGCAAGUUUGCUCCGUGGGGACAGCCUUGGGGCCCGGAGGCUCCGAGCCCCCGAGGAUGAGCGCCCACAGCAGCCCCGCAGGCCAGCCUCUGUGGCAGGGCCCCGCGUGCCUUGGCUGGAAGCGGGACCUGGAAGGGGCCGUCUUCCACCUGGCCAACUGCUUCUUGCUCCUGGGCUUCAUGGGGGGCAGCGGGGUGUAUGGAUGCUUCUACCUCUUUGGCUUCCUGGGCACAGGCUUCGUGUGCUGCGUGAUGUGGGGCUGGUUUGGUGCUUGCGGCCUGGACAUCAUCCUCUGGAGCUUCCUGCUGGCAGUGGCCUGCGUGCUCCAGCUGGCGCACCUGGCCUACCGCCUGCGCAAGAACACCCUCCCCGAGGAGUUCGAUGUCCUCUACAAGACCCUGUGUCUACCCCUGCAGGUGCCUCUGCAGGUGUACAAGGAGAUUGUUCGCUGCUGCGAGGAGCGGGUCUUGACUCUGGCCACCGAGCAGACGUACGCUGUGGAGGGCGAGACGCCCAUCAACCGCCUGUCCCUGCUACUCUCUGGCCGGGUUCGUGUGAGCCAGGACGGGCAGUUCCUGCACUACAUCUUUCCUUACCAGUUCAUGGACUCUCCCGAGUGGGAAUCGCUGCAACCCUCUGAGGAGGGAGUAUUUCAGGUCACUCUGACGGCGGAGACCCCCUGUAGCUACAUCUCCUGGCCGCGGAAAAGCCUCCACCUUCUUCUGACCAAAGAGCGGUACACCUGCCAGCUCUUCUCGGCCCUGCUGGGCUACGACAUCUCCGAGAAGCUCUACGCCCUCAACGACAAGCUCUUCGCCAAGUUCGGGCUGCGCUUUGACAUCCGUCUGCCCAGCCUCUACCACGUGCUGGGGCCCGCGGCCGCCGACGCCGGGCCCGAGGCCGAGAAGGCCCCCGGGGAGCCCCGGGCCCGCGGAGCGCCCCCGCCCGCGCCCCCGCCCGCGCCCCCGCCCCGCGCCGGGGCCAGGCCCGACAGCGGCCUUCUGGGGGAGGACUCCGCCAGUCUGGUGCUGGAGGAUUUUGAGGAGGUGUCGGGAUCAGAAUCGUUCAUGGAUUAUAGGAGUGAUGGGGAGUACAUGAGGUGAGGGCCGCCCCCGGGCGCCCCCCGCGGCCUCGCCAGCCCGUCUUCUAGAAGUCCUCUCCACAGCUAUUCUCAAGCUAUGUCCAGGGGACAGGCCUCUUGGCUCCAACCCACACUCCCGAACUUUAAGGAUCCAUGGACUAUCUUUUUCUCUGGCCAUACUAAUCCUCGCAGGAGAGUCACUGGAGUGCACACCCGGUCUUACCCACUGGAAGGCCCACUGGCCAGGUCGGAGGAGACACAGAAGACUCUGGCACUACAGCUACACCAAGGGCCCCAAGCAACUUGUGGAAAUUUACCUUCACCAGCUGUCCUUCCAGGAGAAGGCACCCCAAAGUGCAAAAGCACUGAUUCCAUCCUCCACUAACUGCAGAAUUUUGGGCAAGUUACAUAGGCUCUCUGAGCCUCGCCGUAAACUUGGGAUUUAUGAAACCAUCCCACGGGGUGGUUGUGAGCAUCGAAUGAGCUGACUUAGGUAACACACCUCAGACAUGGUGUGACACUGAGUAACCACUCAAUAAAUCACUCAGUUGUUUUUUUUUUUUUUUCCCAUGUGGUUUCUUUGAACUGUCUGAAAGGGUCUCUGUAGUCAACUAGCCAAGAAGUUUGCUUGUUUUUUCCCAGUUAGAUUCAAUUUAUAGAAGUGGAUAUUUUAAAACCUAGUUUUCCCUUAAGCUUUCAAGUUCAACUUCCAAAUCUCUGGUUCUGUUCAGGACCCUAGCAUUAAACAGUAGUUUUUAGGGGGACUUGAACAAACUCAGUCAAUUAAAUUUCCUUAAAUAUUUUAAAGUGGAUUUAUAAAUUUAACACGUUCUAUUUUACUUUUUCCCUAAAUACUUCAACACAUAUUGCAGUUAUCUAUUGUCAUGUAAUAUUCAUACCUGAAAUGGUAACCUGCAGUAGUUUAUUUUUCUGAUACAUGUGGGGCUUGAGUGAGCCCAGCUGGGUUGUUCUCACUCACGGUCUCUCAUGCUGUCGUGUGCAGAUAAUGGCUCGAGCUAGAGUCCUCUCCAAGCCUUCUUCACUCGUGUGUGGGGCGGAGUCUGGAGACACUCAAACAGCUGAGGACUGAAACAGCUGGGAGUCCUCGGGCAUAUCUCUCUCUCUCUCUCUCUCUCUCUCUCUCUCUCUCUCAAUGGUUUGUUCAUUUGUUUUGCUGUUUGCAAAAUUGCUGUCGUGAUUAUUGUUGCAUGAAUAUAUCAUAAUUUAUUUAUCCAUUCUGCUAAUGGGCAUGGAGUGCUUUCCAGCUUGGGGUGAUUAUGAAUAGUACUGGCAUCAGCAUUCCUGAAUGCAUUUCUUGGAACACACAAGUGUACAUUUCUGGGGUAUAUGUAGGACUGAAAUUACUCAAGUAUUGGGUACGUGUAUGUUCGACUACAGUAAAUACCAUCAAACGGUUCUCUAAGUGAUUGUAUUAAUUCAUAUUUCCACCAGCAGUAUAUGAGAGUUCUAGAUGCUUCUCAUCCUCCCAAUUGCUGACAUGGUCAUUUAAAAAAAUAGUUUAGCCAUCUGGGUGUAUGUAGCAGCAUACCACUGUGGUUUUAAUUUUCAUUUGCCUGAAGAGUAGUAAGUUGAGUACCUUUUCAUGUUUUCAUAGAUAUUGUCAAGUCUAUAAUUGUUCUUGCCCAUUUCACUAUUUGUAUGCUUUUGCCUAUCAACUUAAAAAAAUUCUUUAAGAGGCACCUGGGUGGCUCAGUGGUUAAGCGUCUGCCUUCAGCUCAGGGCAUGAUCCCGGGGUCCUGGGAUCGAGUUCCACAUCAGACUCCCUGCAGGGAGCCUGCUUCUAAAAAAAAAAAAUUUCUUUAAAUAUUCAAGUUAAAAGUCCUUCAUUGCUUAUAUAUAUUCAAAUAUAUUCUCUCCCACUUCGUGAAUUUUCUCUUUUUUCUUUAAAUUGUGUCUUUUGAUGAACAUAUGUUCUUUUUUUUUAAAGUUUGUUUUAUUUAUUUGAGAGAGAGAGUGAGCAUGAGUGGGAAGAGGGGCAGACAGAGAGAAUUUUGAGCAGAUUUUCCACUGAGCAUGGAUCCCAACUCGGGGCUCCAUCCUACAACCCGUGAGAUCAUGACCUGAGCUGAAAUCUCCAGUCAGACACUUAACUGACUGAGCCACCCAGGUGCCCCUGGACAUAUGUUCUUAAUUUUAAUGUAGUAAUUUAUCAAUCUUUUUCUCUGUCAUUAGUCCUUUCUGUGUUAUAUUUAAGAAAUCUUUUCCUCCUCUGAAGAUAUCCUUCUAUUUUACCUUCUAGAUAUUCUAUUGUUUUACAUUUCACAGUUAGAUCUACAGACAAUCUGGAUUUGAUUUUUGUGUAUAGUAUGAAGUAAGGAUUAAAUUAUUUAUUUUCUAGUAGAUAUCCAAUAGACUGAGCACUAUUUACUGAAGUAAUUAUCCUAUCCUCACUACUAUCCAGUGUCUCCCUUGUCAUAAACCAAAUCUUCGUAUAUCUGUAUGGUCUGUUUCCGGAUCUUCUGUUCCAUCAGCCUGUUCGUCCACCGUAGGCAAUACGACUUGGUUGUAAUUAUUGUAACUUUAUAAUAAGUUUUGGUAUCUGGUGGUCUUCAAACUUUGUUCUUCAAAUCUUUGUUAUUCUUGGCUCUUCCCUUUGUAUUUCCAUAAAAACUUUAGGAUCAGUUUGUUAAUCUCCACAAAAAUAUAAACUCUGCUGGGUUUUUUUUUUUUAUCAGAAUUACAUUCACCCUGUGAAUCAUAUUGACAAAUAAUUGAUAGCUCUAUGAUAUUAACUUUCAAACCAUGAACAGAGUAUAGCGCUUUAUUUAUUUUGAUCCUCUUUAUUUUCUUUCAGUAGUGUUCUGUAGCUUUCCAUGGAGAUAUCCUUGUACAACUUUUGUUAGAUUUAUUUCUAGGUAUUUGUUGAAUGUGAUACUAUUGUAAAUGCUACCAUUUAACAUUUUUUUACUUUCUGAUUUUUUUAUUGCUAGCAUAUAGAAACAUAGUUGAUCUUUGUAUCUUCAAAUUCCAUCCAGUGAUUUUGAUAAAUUCACUUACUGAUUCUAAUCAUUAAUCCAUAGUCUUCAGGAUUUUCCAUAGAUUCAAAUAUAUUAUCUGUAAAUAAUGAUGGUUUUAUUUCUUCCUUCCAAAUCUAUAUCUUCCCCACCCCUCCUCUCUCUCCUUCUUUAUCCUUUGAUGCUUAUUGUGCUGGGUAGGACUUCCAGGACAGGGAUGGAUAGAAGGGAUAAUGAAGACAUCCUUCUUUCAUACUUGACUUAGGGAAAAUGUUUUCAGUAUUUCACCAUUAAGUAUGAUGUGUGUUAUUAGGUUUUUAUAAUACCCCUCUCAGAUUAAAGAAGUUCUAUUCUUAAUUUUAAAUCAUGGAUGAAAAUUGAAUUGCAUUAGAUGAUUUUCUGCAUUUAUUGAGGUUAUUUUUCUCCCUUAUUUUGUUAAUGAAUUAUAUUAAUAGAUAUAUGAAUAUUGGAACAACCUUGCAUCCUGGAGCAAAUCCAAGUUUAUUAUGUUGUAUUUUCCUCUUUGCCUAUUUCUGAACUUAGUUUACAAAUUUCUUUUUUUGGAAUUUUACAUCUAUGUAUUUUGCAAUAUCAUUGUCAGGUUUGAUAUCAGGGUUAUGCUGUCUUUGUAAAAGGAGUUAGGAAGUAUUCUCUCUCUCUUCUUUCCUCUUCUUUGGAAGAGAUCUUCAAGCCAAACAGUUUUAUAACUCUUGAGUACCACCCCACCCACCUUACCUUCUCUUCUGUUGUCUUUUCACUCAGGUGCCCAUGCACUAAACCUUGCAGUCUUUCCAUCCAUUUUCUUUUUAUCUUCAAAACAUAUCCUGAAUUUAAUUCACCUUUACUGUGACCACUAAUUUCAAGCUACUAUUAUUUCAUACCUAGGUUAACUUCAAGAGGCUUACAACUGGCCCUGUGCUCUCUCCUGUUUCCCCUCCCCAUAAUCUACUAUACACACAGCAAAGUGGUCACUUAAACAUGUAUAUGAUCUCAUCACUCUCUUGCUCAAAAUUUCAAAUGGCUUCCUGUUAUAUUUAGAAUAAAACCCAAACUUCUUACUAUGUGAUAUUAGUCAGGAUCAGCUUAUGAUGACUUAAUAGCACAAGGGUUUAUUUCUCUCUUAAAGUUUACUGAGAGUCUGCAUGAUUCAUGAUGGCAACUGUUAUCAUGUUGCAACUCAGUGACUCAAUCUACUUUGACCUUCUGGCUCUGUCACCUGAAGAAAGAAACAGUUUGACAUUCCGGUGCUAGCUUUUUGAUGCUGUAGCCAAGAAAGGAUACAAAUCACAUCUGGCCAGAGCCCAUUGGCUAAAGGUAGUCAUAUGGACCCACUAAAGGUAGUCACGGGGAUCCACUUAAUAAUCAGCUUUGGGCUUUGUUGAUUAAAGAGACUGGGAAAUGUGGGGAAGCAAAAGGCUUGAUUGGUGAGUCUUAUUCUUCUGGGCACUUACAGUUGUGUUUUCUCUCUGAAAUCCUUUUCACUCAUAACUUCUCCUGGCUGACUUCUUCUGGCCAUUCUGUUCUCAGCCUCUGUCACCAUCUCAGCUAAGAUAUCCACUCACCUCACCAUCACCAUCGUCCCUUUGUCCUGCUCGAACCUUCUUCAGUCUUAUUUCCUCUUUCCUCUCUUUUUGGUAUUCCAAUUAUGCAUUUGAUAGGACUGUUCAGUGUGUUAUUUUCUCUUUUUUUCUGAAAUGACACUGUGUAUUUCUUUUCUUGUUUUAUUUCUGUCUCUUCCCUAUAUAUUUUACAAUGUACUUCUCCCCUGUCAAUUUUGAGAAAUUCAAUAGCUCUCUUGUCAACCCUUGAGGGCUGUUGUGGAGAAUAAAUGAAGCAAUAAACAUCAACAAAAAGCUCAUACAUUUUAAAUUGAGACUGAACUGUACCUGGGACAUAGUGCCAGCCCUCAAGCUACAGGACCGCCUAACCAUUCCUCACCCACUUUGGCUUUCUAACACCUCCAAACCAAGAUGGCCCCACUGGAAAUUCAAGAAAACCCUGGGUCUUCGUCAUUUCUCCAUUGAAGAACUUAACCGCUGUGAUGAGACUGCACCUCAACAAAUGUCACAUCAAAGAGGGGCUAUAUUUCUUGCCUGCUUCCAGCUCCCACCAAACAGCCACCUCGGUGGAUCCUGCUGACACACUACCAACAUCACCUGGCCUUGUUCCUCCGACCCCACAGGAGGAUUGCCCCCUGUUGCUGAUUUCUGCAUUGUCCCCCCGCCUCCUUUUGGCUUUUCAGCUCUCUGGACAUAUUUGUAAUUAGUUCCUUGGGUUAAAUAUCUUCUGUUGGACUCCCAGUUUGGGCUCUGGUUUCUGGAUGGGACCCUGCUUGCUGAGACAGUGACUUCUUUGAUUAGACCGGCUCCUGCUGGCUUGCGAGUAACUCACCAAUUGCUUUGUAAAGAAACAUGCACCUCUGCUGCUGUUCCUAUCCUCUGCCAGGCUUGAGCCUUCCUAUAGUUGAAGUUCUCUAUCUUCCCACCUCAAGCCUGGUCCUGCCAGAUGCUAGGCCCAAAUGUGACCCCAGAAGGGAAGGAAUGCUCAGCCUGCUUCUAGAUAUUAGCACCACAUGGCAUCAAGCCCUGCUGGCCUCACCUUGUACUCAUUUGCUAACUAGCCCCUUUGCCUGUGAUUCAUUUCUAAUAACUCACCUAGUACUGGCCCCACUUUCCAGGAGUAGGUGCUUCCCAGGCUCUGGUCAGGCCUCCCUGGCCAGUGAUGAGGUCUUCCUGCUUGCUGACAUUCCUGAUGCCCCCUUCCUGGAUUCCUGACUCAUGUUUCCUAUCUAGGUUCUCAUGUUCUCACCACCUGUUGAGACACCCCAUAUCUUCGGCUCACCCGCCUCAUCUGCUGUUGUCUAAAUAAACUACCCUUGGAUCCAGUACUGAUCAUGAACCUGGGACAGUUGCCCAGCAUGUGCCUGUGGGUGCAUCUGCAGCAGGUCCUGCCCUCACCUCCACCUCCAGCCCAGCAGGCUUGGGCCACCCAUUAGUGAUCACACAGUGCCUGUUGUGGGAGAUGUGUGUGCGUGUGAUG